rnacentral:rRNA from 1 species
UACGUAGGGUGCGAGCGUUGUCCGGAAUUAUUGGGCGUAAAGAGCUCGUAGGCGGCCUGUCGCGUCGGAUGUGAAAGCCCGGGGCUUAACCCCGGGAGGCGGAUGGAUACUGCUGAGCUCGAGUCCGGAAGAGGCGAGUGGAAUUCCUGGUGUAGCGGUGAAAUGCGCAGAUAUCAGGAGGAACACCAAUGGCGAAGGCAGCUCGCUGGGACGGUACUGACGCUGAGGAGCGAAAGCAUGGGGAGCGAACAGG